AUUUUAUCUGAGAGCAACCAGGAGGAAUGGGGUUUUGCUCCAACUCACUGAUUUAGCAGAUAUAUUAAUCAUUCUAGCUACCUUAGUAAAAGAAAGCCACUUUCCAGUCAUAGGAAGGAGUAUACGAGUUCAUAAUGGAGGCGCUCCUCCAAGAUGGAGUUGCGCAUGCUUCACCAGGAUAGGGAUUUAUCUACAAGAUAGAAAUAUAGAAUGAGAUGUGAAAACAUAAUUUCAGUAUGGAGGAUCUAAAUGUUGUUCAUAGCAGGGAUGUUCUAGAGCAGUGAUUCUCAACCAGGAGUGAUUUUUAUCCCGAGAGACCUUCGGCCAUAUCCAGGCACUCUGACUUGCUUGGGGUGGAGAGUGGGUGUGCUACUGACAUCUAGUGGGGAAAUCAGGGAGGCGGAUCAACCCUGCUGGAGAUGGCGCUGCUACCCACACCAAGAACUGCCCAGCCCAAUGGUCACCGCUGCUGAGGAGGGGACACCAACUCUAAAGAAAGUUUCAGGAAGAACAGACACUGAAUGGGAAGAGCUCACAGUUCACUUGUGAACGCUGUCUGCAAAUAUGCACGCAGUCAUGCAACAAGAAAGCAAACCAGCAAAUGGAAAAAUACUCAUCAGAGCGACCUGAGCGUCCUUCCUACCUCCCGAGCUUAACAGAUUCAAAGACUUCCGUUACUCAUUCGUUUUCAAAAGACCUUGCUUUCCUUUUUCUGCAACAGUGAUAUUUUUCAGUGCAUGCUCCGUAUCUGCCAUCCUCUGAGAAAGGUACUACCACCAGCUUCAUUUUGUUGAGGAAACUGAGGCGUUGAAUGGCUGAAUAACUCACCCAGGCCUGGCUGCUAGCAAAUUCUGGAGCCCAGAUGUGGACUGACCUUCUGACUCCAGAUCGUGGACUGUUAAUCACUGCAUGAUCCUGCCCCUCGGAGCACACUAGCAGAACUGUGAUCUAGUCAAGGUGUAGGAAAAAGGGCAAGCAGAUUUUUAUGGGUGACCAGCAGUCCCCACCACGUGUGUAAAUAACCAGAAUGUGAUUAUCCUGAUAAAAAUAACCGUUCAUUACUAUACUAAGUCUGGCAAGUAAAGAACAUAUUUAAAAAAGAGAAACAAGUCACUCCUAAUCCCCCUGCAGUGAUUUUUUAAGACUGUGUAUUACCCACUCCUUCCCAUAAACCCUUUAAUUUCAUUAGGGAGAAUUGUAUUUCUUCCCCAGAAAGUAGUCUGGUGUGGAUGAAAAGCUAGUGCUAGGGCCAGUCAGUGGCAUGGUGGUUGGGGAGGCUGGA